CGUAAAACUCUGUUGUUGGAGAAGAAUGGUCGGCAGAGUAACUGUUGUCGGCGUGACGGUAUCCAACCAGAAAGCCACGGCUAACUACGUGCCAGCAGCCGCGGUAAUACGUAGGUGGCAAGCGUUAUCCGGAUUUAUUGGGCGUAAAGCGAGCGCAGGCGGUUUUUUAAGUCUGAUGUGAAAGCCCUCGGCUUAACCGAGGAAGCGCAUCGGAAACUGGGAAACUUGAGUGCAGAAGAGGACAGUGGAACUCCAUGUGUAGCGGUGAAAUGCGUAGAUAUAUGGAAGAACACCAGUGGCGAAGGCGGCUGUCUGGUCUGUAACUGACGCUGAGGCUCGAAAGCAUGGGUAGCGAACAGGAUUAGAUACCCUGGUAGUCCAUGCCGUAAACGAUGAAUGCUAGGUGUUGGAGGGUUUCCGCCCUUCAGUGCCGCAGCUAACGCAUUAAGCAUUCCGCCUGGGGAGUACGACCGCAAGGUUGAAACUCAAAGGAAUUGACGGGGGCCCGCACAAGCGGUGGAGCAUGUGGUUUAAUUCGAAGCAACGCGAAGAACCUUACCAGGUCUUGACAUCUUUUGAUCACCUGAGAGAUCAGGUUUCCCCUUCGGGGGCAAAAUGACAGGUGGUGCAUGGUUGUCGUCAGCUCGUGUCGUGAGAUGUUGGGUUAAGUCCCGCAACGAGCGCAACCCUUAUGACUAGUUGCCAGCAUUUAGUUGGGCACUCUAGUAAGACUGCCGGUGACAAAC
rnacentral:rRNA from 1 species